rfam:Lupinus angustifolius cultivar Tanjil contig_19997, whole genome shotgun sequence.
GGUUUACACUUGAUCUCUGAACUUCAGGUAAGUUCGUGUUGACAACUUCAUUCACUGAUGCU